rnacentral:rRNA from 1 species
CCUACGGGCGGCAGCAGUGGGGGAUAUUGCACAAUGGGGGGAACCCUGAUGCAGCGACGCCGCGUGGGUGAAGGAGUAUUUCGGUAUGUAAAGCUCUAUCGGCAGGGAAGAAUUUAGACGGUACCUGACUAAGAAGCCCCGGCUAACUACGUGCCAGCAGCCGCGGUAAUACGUAGGGUGCGAGCGUUAAUCGGAAUUACUGGGCGUAAAGCGCGCGUAGGCGGUAUGUCAAGUCAAGGGUGAAAUCCGCGCGCUCAACGUGGGAACUGCCUUUGAAACUGGCAAACUGGAGUGUGUGAGAGGAUAGUGGAAUUCGAGGUGUAGGAGUGAAAUCCGUAGAUAUCUGGAGGAACAUCAGUGGCGAAGGCGACUAUCUGGCACAUAACUGACGCUGAGGAGCGAAAGCGUGGGUAGCAAACAGGAUUAGAUACCCUAGUAGUC